rnacentral:rRNA from 1 species
UGGGGAAUAUUGCACAAUGGGCGAAGCCUGAUGCAGCAACGCCGCGUGAGUGAUGAAGGCCUUCGGGUUGUAAAGCUCUGUCUUUUGGGACGAUAAUGACGGUACCAAAGGAGGAAGCCACGGCUAACUACGUGCCAGCAGCCGCGGUAAUACGUAGGUGGCAAGCGUUGUCCGGAUUUACUGGGCGUAAAGGAUGCGUAGGCGGAUUUUUAAGUGAGAUGUGAAAUACCCGGGCUUAACUUGGGUGCUGCAUUUCAAACUGGGAAUCUAGAGUGCGGGAGAGGAGAAUGGAAUUCCUAGUGUAGCGGUGAAAUGCGUAGAGAUUAGGAAGAACACCAGUGGCGAAGGCGAUCUCUGGACCGUAACUGACGCUGAGGCAUGAAAGCGUGGGUAGCAAACAGGAUUAGAUACCCUGGUAGUCCACGCCGUAAACGAUGAGUACUAGGUGUAGGAGGUAUCGACCCCUUCUGUGCCGCAGUUAACACAAUAAGUACUCCGCCUGGGAAGUACGAUCGCAAGAUU